GUUCUACUGCGGCGUUGGUGACUGCCAACACUGUUUUACGAUCUAUGUUUGUUCGAUAAGGGAACUGAGAUGCUGCGGUGGCAGUAAACCGGGCUUGUACCCGGAAACUUAAAGCCGUAGCCACGGUGCCCACCUGGUUUUACCAGGUCGAAAACUGAGGUAAGACGGCGUCGCGGUGAACUA
rnacentral:other from 1 species